rnacentral:rRNA from 1 species
AACGAACGCUGGCGGCAGGCUUAGCACAUGCAAGUCGAACGCCCCUUUCGGGGGGAGUGGCAGACGGGUGAGUAACACGUGGGAACGUGCCCUUCAGUUCGGAAUAACCCAGGGAAACUUGGGCUAAUACCGGAUACGCCCUUACGGGGAAAGAUUUAUCGCUGAAGGAUCGGCCCGCGUCUGAUUAGCUAGUUGGUGGGGUAAAGGCUCACCAAGGCGACGAUCAGUAGCUGGUCUGAGAGGAUGAUCAGCCACACUGGGACUGAGACACGGCCCAGACUCCUACGGGAGGCGGCAGUGGGGAAUAUUGGACAAUGGGCGCAAGCCUGAUCCAGCCAUGCCGCGUGAGUGAUGAAGGCCUUAGGGUUGUAAAGCUCUUUCGGCGGGGACGAUAAUGACGGUACCCGCAGAAGAAGCCCCGGCUAACUUCGUGCCAGCCGCCGCAGUAACAC